rnacentral:lncRNA from 10 species
AGGGUACAACUCAGUGGGUUUUAGUAUAUUCACAGAGCUGUGCAACCAUCACCAUAGUCUAGUUUUAGAUCAUUUCAUCAUCCCGAUAAGAAACCUGAUACUGCUGUUUUAAUAACAAGCCUUGUAAGGCAUGGUAAAAUAAAAUAAAAUAAAAACUAAAUUAAAAGAAAGAAACCAUUAAGAGUGGUUUCCUCUAGGAAGGAGAACAUGGGGUGGUUGGCGAUGACAUGAGAAAUGGAAGUUUUCAUUGUUGGCCUUUCUGUAAUAUUUUCUGCUUCUUUAAAAACCAUUUAUGUGUGCUGUUUUGAUUUUAUAAUUUUCUUUAAAAGUUAUAACAAUUCCUUAAACACAAACUUAAUGGGAAGUCAGGGAUUACAUUAGUGGCAGUGUUCGCCAAAGACCUUUGGAAGUUGAAAGUGCUCUGCAGAUUUGAGGAACUGUUGUCAUUCCAGCAUCACAGCAGGGGUGGGGAAGAGAUCACACAAGGUCAGCAACUUGGGAACUGGGACAUAGCCACAUAACACCUGCUGGAAGGUAGCCACCAGCUGGGAUGAUGGGGCUGUCCCCACAACAAAGGCCCCUUUUUGGAGAUCCCUGGGGCUCAGGAGCCAGUGAGUCUGUCUUUGGGGAAGAUAAGGCAGAGGGCCAACCCUCACGACCCACGAGUGUGGCAUGUCCAUGACCAGAGACCAAGGCCAGGCUUGCGACAUGAAAAGGUGAGUGUCAAUGACCUAAGUAUUAAUAGAGAACUGCGGCAUCAUCUCACCCAGAACCAUCUCUCCCCACAUAGCAGGGUCCACUUUUCUUGAGAUUAGGUCCGUUUUAUGUUUUACAUUUCCCUUCACUUUUCAGAAAAAUGGCCCCAAGUGGGACUGCCUUUUUUUAAUUCCAAGGAACAGCACCGGCCACAUCAGCACUGUUCUCGCCUCUGCCUCCAAGCUCUGUUUCUCAUCUGGCUGCUGAGAGAAGUUGCUGUUGCUC